rnacentral:tRNA from 1 species
GGUGGCUCAGUGGUAGUGCGCUUGCCUUGCAAGCACGAGGCCCUGGGUUCGAUCCUCAGCACCA